rnacentral:rRNA from 1 species
UACAGGGGGGGCAAGCGUUGUUCGGAAUUACUGGGCGUAAAGGGCUCGUAGGCGGCCAACUAAGUCACACGUGAAAUCCCCAGCUUAACCUGGGAACUGCGUGUGAUAUUGGAUGGCUUGAAUUCGGGAGAGGGAUGCAGAAUUCCAGGUGUAGCGGUGAAAUGCGUAGAUAUCUGGAGGAACACCGGUGGCGAAGGCGGAUCUCUGGGCCAUUACUGACGCUGAGGAGCGAAAGCGUGGGGAGCGAACAGG